CAGCCACAUCAUGUUCAAUCACCGGUUCCUGUACGAUUACUGAAAUUAAGCAAUAUAAUGUCUGGUCAGUACCUAGAUGGAUGACCGCUUGGGAAUACCAGGUGCUGGAU